rnacentral:lncRNA from 1 species
AUAAAAUGUCCGUAAAUAGUUACUAGGAGAUUCUCCGAUGCCCUUUUUCCUAAUUUCUAGUCUCUCUCUCCCUGUAAGUAUGUUUCUGUAUCUCCUACUCUCUUCCAUUUCUUUCCUUCUUUACUAGUCCCCCCUUAUGAAAGGAAAUGGACUGCAUCUGAAAAAAUUUUUAAAUAUUUGUUGUCUACUUAAAUAAUUAGGGAAAGUGAGGGAAGUGGACUGGCAAGACAAAAGAAAAGCAUUAAUUAUAAUUGCCCCUGUCUUCGCUUGAACAGCCUUCUAAAAAAUAUCUCCUCACUGACCUGCUGUGAAAGGAAUGAAGGCAGCUGAUGGUGUGAUUCGACAGUGGACUGGAAGUUCAAGGUUGCAACAGUGACUCUCCUGAAACACCACAUAUUCUGUUCUUCUCCUCUACUGUGGUGAAAAAUAGUAGUUAAGAAUUUGAGCUGUGUAAUCAAAAUGCCAGCUUCACAGCACACUAGUUAUAUAAUCUUAUGCAAGAGGUUUAACUUCCUAAGACCUCAGUUUCUCCUUUUUACAAAGGGAACAGUAAUGGUAUCUGCUUUAUAAGGUACCGUAAAUGUGUGAAAAACCCCAGCACAGAUCAUAGAGCCACCUACUCAACCUGAAGCUGACUACAGAUGCAUAAAUGAACUACAACCCAGCUGAUACAUAGAGUAAAAGACAACAGCAAAAUAUUGUUUCAUGACACUGAGAUUGUGUGUUUAUUUGUUACACAAAAAUAGCUAACAGAUGCAGGAAUUCAUAAUGAGAGCUAUGAUUAUCAUUGGUCUCAAGAAAUUUAAGUUGGGAUCUUUCACAUGUUUUGGGUUCAGCUGGCUAUGAUGUAAUCUAAUAUGAUCUUGGUUGGGAGAACAGUGCUCUCUUCCUGGUAGUCUGUCAUGCAGCAUGCUAAUCUGGGCUUGUUCUCAUGACAGAGGUUUCUAACAGAGCAAAUGGAAGUCAACAAUGCCUCCUGAGGCACAAGCUCAGAACUGGCACUCUGUUCGUGUCUACCAUGUUCUAUUAGCCAAAGUGACUCAUAAGGACUGCCCAGAGUCAGAAUGAAAAGGGAAAAUGAAGAACAUAUUCUGAGUCAGAAAGUUAUAGAAAAUGGUGAUUCAGAGAUACAUACUGACAGUCAUGACAUGGCAUGUUAAGGAGCUCAGAUUAAAGGCCUCAAGCAAUCAGUUGAAGUCUCCAUAAGAUGUAUAAGUAGAAAGAUCCAAUAGGCUGUCUGGACAAAAUGAAAAUCAAGAGACAAGUCAGUUUGGAGAUCUAGAUUUGUUGAACAAAAGUGUGUAAGUGUUAGCUGAAAUCAGGAGUGUAGAUGAGAUUACCCAAGUAAAGCAUGUGACAAGAUUAGAAGAGCCAAGAAUAGAACCAAGGUUUAGAUUGACUUUGAAAGAUAGAAAGUUAUUAUAGAAGAGAUUAUAAAGUGGACCAAAAAGGAAGAUUAGAGAAGUAAGAAGAUAAUCAAGAAAUCAUGACAUGAUGGAAGUCAAAGAAGCAGAAAUAUCAGGGAAAAGAAAGUGGGAUUGCUCUGGAAAAAUAUGAUUUGAAAAAAGGUCUUUAAAUCCCAUGCCCUUCCAUUCCAACUUGAAAUUAUAAGAGAAAUUUGAAACAGCAAAAGUCUGUCAUUAGAGCUAGAACUAAGGCAAGAACACCUAUAUAUUUGACAAACUCUAAGGAAUGCCUUAAGACAUAGGUUUCAUGACAAGUGGGGCCCUGACUCUCUUAUUCAACUUUGUAUCCACCAAUCUCGGAACCUAGAAUGUAACUAAUACACAAUUUGUUGAAAGAAAUAAAAACAAAGAAGGAAGGAAAGGAACCACGAAUGAAAUCAGACUGGAAAUGAUUCUGAGCAACAAUAAUUAAUGUCCCUGCCUGAGAAAAUAUUGUGAUGUUGCAUGAAAUCAACAGAAGAUACCUGUCUGAAUGACACUAACACCUAUAAUUUUGAGGUGUGGAAAAACAUAAGGUGAUCAGCUCAUGGAAACUUCCAGUAGGAAUUCUUUUCUCUGAUGUAGCCAGAAGCAUUGUUAACAGUAGAUGUGAGAGACUAUAUCCAACUGAAUGUUAACGGUAGCAAAAUAUCUUCCUGAUGGAGAGUGAAUUUUCAAUGACACGGUAUAAAAUUGCAUCAAUAAGAAUUGAUUCUGCUUAAAAGGACAUCCAAAGCUGCUACACACUGUGCAUAUAGGCCCCACAUCUAAAGAAGCACCAUUUAUAUCAAGGUCUCCUAGGUUUAUAUAUUUAUCACACUAGGGUUUUGACAGACGGCAGUGAAGGGUCUCAUAAAUGAGUAAGUACAUUAUGACAAUUUUCUGCUAUCUGGAAGUAAAACAUCUUGAGGAUGAAGCACAUUUUCCUAAUUUGUAGAAAGUCACCAUGUGGACAGGAGGCAGCCAUGGGAACAUCUGCUGCCAUGGGUACCUCAGAAAUCAGUUGUGAAAGUGAGUAAAGCAGAGUGAUACAAAUCUGGUGUACAUGCUUUGAGUUUGUUUUGCCUGUUGUGUAAUCAUUUUUUUUUGUAAUAAACCCACUCUUUUCACACUCUUAACCACGAAGUUGAAUCUGUGUCUCCAUCCAAGCUCCAAGAGUAAGCUUAUGGUCAAGGCUAGGAAAAUCAGAGAAUCCUAUUUUUAUGACAACAGUGAUGGUUUCAGGGAGGGGUACUUGACCCAUAUAAAAUGCAAUCUCAG